GACGAACGCUGGCGGCGGGCUUAACACAUGCAAGUCGAACGGGAAGGCCCUGCUUUUGUGGGGUGCUCGAGUGGCGAACGUGUGAGUAACACGUGAGUAACCUGCCCUUGACUUUGGGAUAACUUCAGGAAACUGGUGCUAAUACCGGAUAUGAGCUCCUGCUGCAUGGUGGGUGUUGGAAAGUUGCGGCGGGUGGGGAUGGACUCGCGGGUUAUCAGCGUGUUGGUGGGGGAGUGGCUUACCAAGGCUUGGACGGGUAGCCGGCCUGAGAGGGUGACCGGCACCAUUGGGACUGAGAUACGGCCGAGACUCCUAAGGGAGGCAGCAGAGGGGAAUAUUGACCAAUGGGCGGAAGCCUGAUGCAGCAACGCCGCGUGAGGGAUGACGGCCUUCGGGUUGUAAACCGCUUUCGCCUGUGACGAAGCGUGAGUGACGGUAAUGGGUAAAGAAGCACCGGCUAACUACGUG
rnacentral:rRNA from 1 species